rnacentral:lncRNA from 1 species
ACGGCGGAAGUUUUACCGUUAACUGUUGAAACACCCGGUGUUAAAAGUACAGUAAUACGCGUGGUUGCAUAGUAGCACACGGUAUUAAUUAUUGAUGCUUAUGUGAUAAGUCACUCAGUUUUGUUUUAUUGGUAUUAUUAAUGUAAUAAAACAGAAAAGCUUUUUAUAUAAAACAGAAUACUUUUAUAAAGUUAUUCGUUUUAUUAGGCUA